AUUGAACGCUGGCGGCAUGCCUUACACAUGCAAGUCGAACGGUAACAGGUUAAGCUGACGAGUGGCGAACGGGUGAGUAAUACAUCGGAACGUGCCCAAUCGUGGGGGAUAACGCAGCGAAAGCUGUGCUAAUACCGCAUACGAUCUACGGAUGAAAGCGGGGGAUCGCAAGACCUCGCGCGAUUGGAGCGGCCGAUGUCAGAUUAGGUAGUUGGUGGGGUAAAGGCUCACCAAGCCGACGAUCUGUAGCUGGUCUGAGAGGAUGACCAGCCACACUGGGACUGAGACACGGCCCAGACUCCUACGGGAGGCAGCAGUGGGGAAUUUUGGACAAUGGGCGCAAGCCUGAUCCAGCAAUGCCGCGUGCAGGAAGAAGGCCUUCGGGUUGUAAACUGCUUUUGUACGGAACGAAAAGGCUCUGGUUAAUACCUGGGGCUCAUGACGGUACCGUAAGAAUAAGCACCGGCUAACUACGUGCCAGCCGCCGCCGUAACAC
rnacentral:rRNA from 1 species